rnacentral:lncRNA from 1 species
CGUGCGUGCGUAUGUGCGUGCGUGCGUGUGUGCGUGUGUGCGUGUGUGUGUGUGUGUGUGUGUGUGUGCGCCAACAAACAGAAAACGUCACUUUCUGAUCUUUCUGUUCCACCUGUCCAAAUUUUAUUCUGCUUCAAAGCCACGUUUACUGGGACACACGGGGCCUCUGUGGCUUUGCUUCCCUGGAUUUCGAAUUCUUGCUUUGCUGAGUUAGGGAAGAUGGGACACUGAAAUGGACCCAGCACUUUUUGUGGGCAGUAAAAUAUAAUGAUGAAGAGACGUAUCCCUGAUGUAUAAUUUCCUGUGAGUAAAACUGUUAAGUAAAAUCUGUGCCCGGUGCCUCCAGGCACUGACUAGGCCUCUCACUUAAGGAUUCCGGGGCUGUGAUUCGGGAAACAAGAACUCUAGGAAUUCUGACGAAAGACGGCCAAGGGUUACAGAAUGCAGAAAAAAAAUCAUGCACUGACAGAUGCAGCAGGAAUCUGUCUUUUGGCCCAGCUUGCUGGGACGAUGUGACUGAGUCAAGCGGGGAAGCCUCCCUGGAUAUCAGCCGUGGGUGCCAGGGGGCACUGUGGUUCAAGUUAUGUGGGUCCUCGGGGUGCUCGGGCUGCAAACUGUGAUCCUCCCUGCAAGAAAAGGCCUUUAUUGAAGGCUGUGGGAGUCAGGAAGAAGAGGUAUUGUGUAGUCUCGUCCUUCUGCACAAGCAUAUUGGAUUUUAGAGCCUCCCCCAGGCAAGCCAAAAAGUUGGACUGCCGUGCCUUGGAGGUUACCUUGGUGCCCGCUCCAUCACACCAGAUGAAGAGGCCCGGAGAAACGAAAGGAGCCGCCCAGAGUCACUCAGGUUGGAUAAACUUAGCACUUCUCAGAGAUUCAAGAAACAAGGACUUGUUCACCCACAAAAC